CAGCCGCCGCGGUAAAACCAGCACCUCAAGUGGUCAGGAUGAUUAUUGGGCCUAAAGCAUCCGUAGCCGGCUCUGUAAGUUUUCGGUUAAAUCUGUACGCUUAACGUACAGGCUGCCGGGAAUACUGCAGAGCUAGGGAGUGGGAGAAGUAGACGGUACUCGGUAGGAAGUGGUAAAAUGCUUUGAUCUAUCGAUGACCACCUGUGGCGAAGGCGGUCUACUAGAACACGUCCGACGGUGAGGGGUGAAAGCUGGGGGAGCAGACCGGAUUAGAUACCCGGGUAGUCCCAGCUGUAAACUAUGCAAACUCAGUGAUGCAUUGGCUUGUGGCCAAUGCAGUGCUGCAGGGAAGCCGUUAAGUUUGCCGCCUGGGAAGUACGUACGCAAGUAUGAAACUUAAAGGAAUUGGCGGGGGAGCAC
rnacentral:rRNA from 2 species